UCGCUUCGGCAGCACAUAUACUACAAUUGGAACAAUACAGAGAAGAUUAGCAUGGGCCCUGUGCAAGGAUGACAUGCAAAUUCGUGAAGCUUUCCACAUUUUU